UGGGGGAUAUUGCACAAUGGGCGAAAGCCUGAUGCAGCGACGCCGCGUGGGGGAUGAAUGCCUUCGGGUUGUAAACUUCUUUUGCUCUUAACAAGGCAUGCCUUUGGGGUGUGUUGAGUGUUGGGGUUGAUUAGCGCCGGCUAACUACGUGCCAGCAGCCGCGGUAAUACGUAGGGCGCGAGCGUUGUCCGGAAUUAUUUGGCGUAAAGGGCUUGUAGGUGGCUGGUUGCGUCUGUCGUGAAAGCUCAUGGCUUAACUGUGGGUUUGCGGUGGGUACGGGCUGGCUUGAGUGCAGUAGGGGAGGCUGGAAUUCCUGGUGUAGCGGUGGAAUGCGCAGAUAUCAGGAGGAAUACCGGUGGCGAAGGCGGGUCUCUGGGCUGUUACUGACGCUGAGGAGCGAAAGCGUGGGGAGCGAACAGG
rnacentral:rRNA from 1 species